rnacentral:lncRNA from 1 species
AGUUUCAAUAACAGAAGCUUUUCUUUCUCUGGCAGGUUCUUCUGAGCGUGGAACUCGGCGAAACUCCGCUUCAGCAUAUCCUCAACCUGGGACAGGUAUUCUUCGUCAGAUUUUCUCAUCGUCCACAUCACCCAAUUCACGCCAUCUAAUCCACCCCCACAGUACGUUUCGAUGUAGCAUAUAUAUAAUAACAACGGGAUAAACCUACCGCCGUGGGUAGAUCAACACAUCAUUUCUAAGAUUAUCUACUUGAUCUUUCGAGCCUGUAUGCAGAUUCUUUUACGUGGAUGUCUUGCUCAUUUUUUUCAGCAGAAUAAAAAGAAGAAAAAAAAAGAGGACACUUUCAGCAGCAUUAUCUACUCGACCGCACGGAUAUUUACCAAUGGAGGAUACAUGACGAACUGAAACCGGUUUGAAAAAUAUAUGUUUUCAGGAUUCAUUUGAUCAUUUCUCAAUAGGGCCCUCGACUUUUUUUUUUGUUUUUUCUUCAUUUUUAUGCAUAUAGUUCCCAUUUCAGGAACGAAGCUCCAAGAGAGGCAUGAUAAUAACCUUUCUGAGUGGCAUGUUAAUCUAAACUUAAAUGUCAGAAACAACCAGUCUAUGGGGCAUUUAACCUGGAACAGUGAAAAAUUUAGCUGAAUACAGAAAACAAAAGAGCGCAC